ACUCUGCCUGCGGUGGAUUGUUUUAUUCCGUGUCAAUUUAAAACUACUUCAGUAAAUGUAUUAACUUUACACCGAGCCUCUUCAUUGCCUACUACAAAGCAACUUUAUGCACCAGUUCGUCACUGAUGGCUCAUCAACGCGGCGGCAUCCUCGUCAUGGGACAGGUUCAUCAGAGUCAGGUGGUCAGCACCCAAACUAAAACCAUGGGUCAUGGUGAAGAAGUAUGAGAGACUGUUCUAUGUGCCCAGGAUUCGUCAGGAUGGUGUCCAAGAAUUACAUCCUAGCAGCACAGAACAGGACGCCAUCAUGAAGAAGUUGCCUGUGGGGCUUCGCUUGGGCUUUGCCAGCGCCUCACUAUCAGUGAUGCUGGUCUCCUUAUCCACCGUGCCUACCCCCACGUUCCUCCCUUGAUGCAUUCAUCUCCUGACCUGUACCUGUUGUGGUAGUAGUCAGUGAUGACACACAGUAGUUGUGAUAAUAACAUACAUGUAUAUGAAAUAACUGAAAUGAUGUCCGUCCAGGCAUUUCCUUUGGUAUUUUAUUAUCCAGUAUAUGUAUGUAUCCAGUUACAUGGGUAUUUUGGUGCCUGGAUUAUACUGCAUGUAAGUAAUAAUAUGAACUCAGGUCAGGAUACCACAGUAGUUCAGAGAACCAUUCAUUAAUAUAAAAUGCACAUGUGUUAUAUGUCCAUCCCAGGAUAGACGUCCCCUCGUAUCACCUUCGUAACCCUAAAAUGCAUGUGUACUUUGUGUCUAAAAAUAAAGUCUAUGAACAACUGAA